rnacentral:misc_RNA from 1 species
GGAAGUAAAAGUCGUAUCAAGGUUUCCGUAGGUGAACCUGCGGAAGGAUCAUUACUGAGUGAGGGCCCUCUGGGUCCAACCUCCCACCCGUGUUUAUUGUACCUUGUUGCUUCGGUGCGCCCGCCUCACGGCCGCCGGGGGGCUUCUGCCCCCGGGUCCGCGCGCACCGGAGACACCAUUGAACUCUGUCUGAAGAUUGCAGUCUGAGCAUAAACUAAAUAAGUUAAAACUUUCAACAACGGAUCUCUUGGUUCCG